rnacentral:rRNA from 1 species
GAUGAACGCUGGCGGCGUGCCUAAUACAUGCAAGUCGAGCGAACAGACGAGGAGCUUGCUCCUCUGACGUUAGCGGCGGACGGGUGAGUAACACGUGGAUAACCUACCUAUAAGACUGGGAUAACUUCGGGAAACCGGAGCUAAUACCGGAUAAUAUAUUGAACCGCAUGGUUCAAUAGUGAAAGACGGUUUUGCUGGCACUUAUAGAUGGAUCCGCGCCGCAUUAGCUAGUUGGUAAGGUAACGGCUUACCAAGGCAACGAUGCGUAGCCGACCUGAGAGGGUGAUCGGCCACACUGGAACUGAGACACGGUCCAGACUCCUACGGGAGGCAGCAGUAGGGAAUCUUACGCAAUGGGCGAAAGCUUGACGGAGCAACGCCGCGUGAGUGAUGAAGGUCUUCGGAUCGUAAAACUCUGUUAUUAGGGAAGAACAAAUGUGUAAGUAACUAUGCACGUCUUGACGGUACCUAAUCAGAAAGCCACGGCUAACUACGUG